rnacentral:lncRNA from 1 species
GUGUAAUAAUUUAUUUACAACUAUUGACGGUUCGUGCAAGGUCAGAUGUCCUUGAUCUGUAAUAGCUGGGUAGUUCACGUUCAGAGUAGUUCACUACCGAGUUGUACUUCAGUGCAUGUGUUGCAGCGCUGUGAUCCAUCUCUCUUGGAUCCCUGUGGAGAGUCGUAUCAGCUAGAUUGUUCUGAAGCAGCCAGGAUGGUCCUCUACCUCAUGGAUAGUCGCCGGGUCAAGAAGGUUUUGUGGCGUCAGCUGCGUGUUCUUGGCUCCAUAUUGUCUUCCCUGGAAGGUUUGGAACCCGCCCGGCAACUCGUCACUCAGCCCUACCUCUCUCAACCUGAGGGUGGAGCUCACGGCAGGUGGAAGGCUCUGAAAGUGUGUAGCAGGGAAAACGUGGAGGAGACGGAGACUCUGCUCAGAUCACUGCAGGAGAAAGUCCAACAGAUCCACAAGAGGCGGCAAACACUUGCAGAGCUGAUCCAACAGCUGCAUAACCAGAAAGGACAGAGUGAAUACCUGGAUGAAUCUCUGCAGAAGGCCCAGAAUGCUUUGCAACUAUGUGAUUGUGAGCUAAUCAAACUGAGGGUGGACUCUGACACAGUGAUCAGUCAGCUGUUGGGAUGGCACCAGCUCAGAGAUGAGUUGCAGGGGUACCUCUCCACUACACAGGAUGUAAUGCACAUCAAUCUGCUGUCCUUCAACCAAUCAGAGCUAUGUGUGGAGCUCAGGCCACGCCGUUCCUCCUCCAGUGAGCUGGAGCCGCUGAAACUGUCAGUCAGCUGGAGCCACGAUGACCGUUUCACAGUGCAGGUGAAUGAGGGGAUGGCUGGUGUAGUGGAGGACUGUCUCUCGGGCAGGUGCUCAGAACUCAGCAUGGCCCUGGUGGAGGUGAUGGAGUGUUAUAUGGGUCACACUAAGCUGCUGUGUGAGAUCCAGUUUCUGAGAUCCAGGUGGUUAUUACAUCUUACUUGUUUAAAGACAUAA